UCUGUCCUUUUGUCCUUGGCUCCCUGUCUUCGGAGCAGGACUGGUGUGUGAGAGGGUGUCUGCCCCUCCUGUCGUCUGUCCCUUUCCUUCUAAGGCCCGAGGAGGAAGGCAUGCUGUGGGCUCUCGCCCUCCUUCUAGCUUUCCUGGCUCCUGCCACUCAGGUAUCUUCCAACAUGGAAGGGAUACAGAUGGUAUUCAUCAGGCAAGCUGGGUCAUCUGUUUUGAUCACUUGUGAUCUUAAACAAAGCAGCGACUACAUCCACUGGUACCAAUACCAGGAGGGGAUGGCCCCACGACGACUUCUCUACUACCAGUUCUCCAGCUCAAAGGUUGUGGUUGAACCUGGAAUCAGAUCACAGAAAUACCAAGCUUAUGAAGGCACAGGGAGAACCUGUAAACUUUAUAUCCAAAUUCUGGAAGAAAGUGAUUCUGCUGUGUAUUACUGUGCUGCCUGGGAGAGGCACAGUGAUAGCAACCUCCUCUAUCCUGCACUGAAAAUUUUGCUUGUGGCUGCCAAGAGCAGCCUUGACACGCAGGAUAGACCAGCCCUUGCCCCCUUCCUGCCCUGACUUCACUGUGCUCUGAACAUGAGAGACCCUGAGCUCAGCGUCCAGUCUUCACCCUCCUAUCCCACUGGCCUCCCUUCUCCCCCAUGAGCCAUAGCACUUUUCUAAAGAUGGAUCUCCCAUCCUCAGGCCUUAGGCAAGCAAUCUGGCAGACAGCAUGUUCUUUCAGGUCUCCUAGGAGCUGGUGGAGUCCAUUCAGUCCGCGUCCUGGGACAGAAAAUGUCACCUAGUUUUGAUCUCUUUGAGGAGACAUUUAGCAGAGCAGUGUGGGAAGGCUAAUGGUGCCUAAUCAUUUAUCCAAUCAUUUCCCAGAGAAAAUGGCUGGGAAAGGAGCUCCUGCCUUCCUCAGGAGAAUGAGAAAUGAUGGAAUGAAGACUUUGGACUUCAUGAAGACCUCAAGCUGGCAUCUGACUUAUCUCUUAGACAAACUGAUAUUUCCUUCACCAUAACCAACCAUGGCUGUUGAGACAGUGAAAGUGUAGGAGCAAGGUGAUUGCGGUAGAGAUGCCAACCAUUGUGUUCUACUCACAGCUUCUUUUGAAGUUCAGCCUCACCAGAACUGUUCUGUCCUCAACAAGGAAAG